GACGUAGGGCGCGAGCGUUGUCCGGAUUUAUUGGGCGUAAAGAGCUCGUAGGCGGCUUGUCGCGUCGUUCGUGAAAACUUGGGGCUCAACCCCAAGCUUGCGGUCGAUACGGGCAGACUAGGAGUUCGGUAGGGGAGACUGGAAGUCCUGGUGUAGCGGUGAAAUGCGCAGAUAGUCAGGAGGAACACCGGUGGCGAAGGCGGGUCUCUGGGCCGGAAACUGACGCUGAGGAGCGAAGCGUGGGGAGCGAACAGG
rnacentral:rRNA from 1 species